GUGGGUAUAGCUCAGUCGGUUAGAGCGCCAGGUUGUGGCCCUGGAGGUCAUGGGUUCGAAUCCCACUACUCACCCCA
rnacentral:tRNA from 1 species